ACGGGUGAGUAAUGCAUCGGAACGUGUCCCGCAGUGGGGGAUAACGCCGCGAAAGCGGCGCUAAUACCGCAUACGCUCUGCGGAGGAAAGCGGGGGACCCGAGAGGGCCUCGCGCUAUGGGAGCGGCCGAUGUCCGAUUAGCUAGUUGGUGGGGUAAUGGCUUACCAAGGCGACGAUCGGUAGCUGGUCUGAGAGGAUGAUCAGCCACACUGGGACUGAGACACGGCCCAGACUCCUACGGGAGGCAGCAGUGGGGAAUUUUGGACAAUGGGGGCAACCCUGAUCCAGCCAUGCCGCGUGCGGGAAGAAGGCCUUCGGGUUGUAAACCGCUUUUAGCCGGGACGAAAGCUCUACGGAUAACACCCGUAGGGGUUGACGGUACCGGCGGAAUAAGCACCGGCUAACUACGUGCCAGCAGCCGCGGUAAUACGUAGGGUGCGAGCGUUAAUCGGAAUUACUGGGCGUAAAGCGUGCGCAGGCGGUUCGUUGUGUCGGCGGUGAAAGCCCCGGGCUCAACCUGGGAAUGGCCGUUGAAACUGGCGAACUGGAGUGUGGCAGAGGGGGGUGGAAUUCCGCGUGUAGCA
rnacentral:rRNA from 1 species